rnacentral:rRNA from 1 species
CCUACGGGAGGCAGCAGUGAGGAAUAUUGGUCAAUGGCCGGAAGGCUGAACCAGCCAAGCCGCGUGAGUGAUGAAGGCGCAGAGCUUCGCAGACCUCUUUUGCCGGGGGACAAAUGGCCGGACUCGUCCGUUCCUGAGUUUACCCUGAGAAAAAGCAUCGGCUAACUCCGUUCCAUCCGCCGCGGUAAUACGGAGGAUGCGUGCGUUAUCCGGAUUCAUUGGGUUUAAGGGGUGCGCAGGCGGGCCUUUAAGCCGGCGGUGAAAUCGCGGGGCUCAACCCCGCCGAGCAGUCGGAACUGGGGGCCUUGAGUGCGGAGGAGGAAUGCGGAAUGCGAGGUGUAGCGGUGAAAUGCAUGGAUAUAGCGCAGAA